rnacentral:rRNA from 1 species
UACGGAGAGUGCAAGCGUUGUUCGGAAUUAUUGGGCGUAAAGCGCGUGUAGGCGGUCCAACAAGUCUGGCGUGAAAGCCUUGGGCUCAACCCAAGAAGUGCGCUGGAAACUGUCGGACUUGAGUACUGGAGGGGGAGGUGGAAUUCUCGAGUGUAGAGGUGAAAUUCGUAGAUAUUCGGAAGAACAUCAGUGGCGAAGGCGACCUCCUGGACAGAUACUGACGCUGAGACGCGAAAGCGUGGGUAGCAAACAGG